CACGUAUGCUGUUCUGUCGAAAUUUGACAGCUGCCUUGGGCUUGAAUUAAAAGCUGGCCAAACAAGUACAUCGAAGAAGUUUUAAGAUAAAUCCUACGUAGCAUACGGUAAUGAUAGUAUCGCUAGAGAAGUGCUUUCAAAUUGCUACGGAAAGCGCCUAGAAAAGCUACUAUUUGAAUGGCCUAGCCCUGGCUGCGAUCACUGCUGCAACCCGGUUUGCCGUACGCCGAAUGCAUUUUCGUCACGUGCGCAUCUUGAGACCCCGCUUAGAGUAACAUACUCUAGAGCUAUGGGACGUCUGUGAUCUCCUGUCCGGCUCUGACUCACCCUCUAAUACACGGUCACACAUUUUGACCGGAUUCAGGACACGUCCCAGUGGGGGCCUUUUCUUCGACAGCAGUCAAGAAAUGCUCUUCCAGCACCAGUGUCGUUAUAUUGCUAUCACCAGAAAAUGGAAGGAGGCGGCUUUUACAUGAAACUGCAUGCACAUAUUUGGUUCGAGUGCGGAGGUCAAACCCGGCAAUGCGUAAAAUUUCUAGACGACCUUAUUUGAUUGGCUACUGACUAUGUGUA